AAGGACCAAACUUUCACAGGGGCCUUUAAACAGUUAAUUCCAUCAGUCUCUUGGGUUUCAGGAAGCGCCUCCCAGCCUACAGCCUUCCGAAGACGUUGUUUGCUGCCCUCUUGUGGAGAAAAGAGAUUACUGACCAGGAAAAAGCCAAAAUGGUGGAUUAAAAAAUUGAGAAGGGGAACCGGCGGAGGGGGGAGGGGACUACUUUCCAAUUAAGAGGACUCACCCUGAGAACUGACUCCCUCCUUGCUCCAGGCAACCAGAGAUCUGUGUGUGUUCUCUUGCCAAUCAAGAUGGCCAACUGAAUUGCGAAACACCAGGGGGAUCAGGACCUUUUGUGGUUUUUAUUUCUUCAAAACACAACUCCCAGACUCUUGCAAAAGUUUGCAGUGUCAUUUGCCUUAAGGAAAGAGUCUUAAUGGCUGACUUUGAAUAUCAGAGAGAAAAGAGAGAUUACAGCCACUUGUCAGGCAAGGAUUCCAAACAAGCAAACAAUAGACUUAAGAUUUCAAACAAGGAUGGGGGUGCACCACAUGGGAAGAAAGGGAAAGAAAAAUAGAAACGAGGUAGGGAGAGAGAAAAGAUGAUUGACACAGAACAGGAGGUGCUGGGCCAAGACCUUGGGAGUCAGACGUGUGGAACACACCGGAAGUCCAGCCUGGAACCCCUGGCUCCAACUGGAGUCCCUGGCCGCCAUAAUGGAGGAAGACCAUCACGUGCCUCUAGCUUUAUAUAUGCAACCUUUAUGGACAGGUAAACUGCGCAUCAAAUACUUCAUGGAGCUGGCACUAGAAAAGGCCUUUGGCAUUCCCAGAGGACCCCUUACGAGAAUCCCUCCUUGGGCAUGGCACCAGUAGCUUCGGUCUAAGACUUGAGGUCCGUUCCUCUUGUUCUCCAUCUCAAAGGCAACAGUUCACAGAUUCUGCCAUAUGGCCAAGUUUUUAUCCAGAGACCCUUUCUUUGCCCUUGACCUAGUUCCCAACUAAAAUCUUACUGUAAACACCUGGGGCCCGGCAGGCUCAUCAGAGGGGGCAGCAGAGCUGCUGUGGGCUUCAGCCAGCCAUGCAGAUUCAGCACGAGCCAAGCGACUCUUCUUGCUGGAACACAGAGUUGGGACUGAGCAACAGCCUGUCACUGAGAACUAAGUUGUGGAGGAGAGAAGUACACUUCGGAAGGAUGAGGAGCCCCUCCAUGCAGGACAGCAAAGAAACAGACUUUACAGAGACAAGAUGGCCUCAGAUGCACAAAAGCCAGAAGUGAAAUGGGAGAGCAGACUCCGGGUCCCAGAAGGUCAUUCUCUUCGCAGUUCCCAGACUUCCCUCAAACUAUCUGCACGCUUCCCUUCCACUCUGUGGGAAAUUCUUUAGCUAAUUAAACAAGGAAAAUCCUGCCUUU